rnacentral:rRNA from 1 species
CCGAUGAGCUGGCGGACAGGCUUCAUCACAUGCAAGUCGAGCGGAGCGAGGGUGCUUGCACCUUAGCUUAGCGGCGGACGGGUGAGUAAUGCUUAGGAAUCUGCCUAUUAGUGGGGGACAACAUUCCGAAAGGAAUGCUAAUACCGCAUACGCCCUACGGGGGAAAGCAGGGGAUCUUCGGACCUUGCGCUAAUAGAUGAGCCUAAGUCGGAUUAGCUAGUUGGUGGGGUAAAGGCCUACCAAGGCGACGAUCUGUAGCGGGUCUGAGAGGAUGAUCCGCCACACUGGGACUGAGACACGGCCCAGACUCCUACGGGAGGCAGCAGUGGGGAAUAUUGGACAAUGGGCGGAAGCCUGAUCCAGCCAUGCCGCGUGUGUGAAGAAGGCCUUUUGGUUGUAAAGCACUUUAAGCGAGGAGGAGGCUACUGGUACUAAUACUACUGGAUAGUGGACGUUACUCGCAGAAUAAGCACCGGCUAACUCUGUGCCAGCAGCCGCGGUAAUACAGAGGGUGCGAGCGUUAAUCGGAUUUACUGGGCGUAAAGCGUGCGUAGGCGGCUGAUUAAGUCGGAUGUGAAAUCCCUGAGCUUAACUUAGGAAUUGCAUUCGAUACUGGUCAGCUAGAGUAUGGGAGAGGAUGGUAGAAUUCCAGGUGUAGCGGUGAAAUGCGUAGAGAUCUGGAGGAAUACCGAUGGCGAAGGCAGCCAUCUGGCCUAAUACUGACGCUGAGGUACGAAAGCAUGGGGAGCAAACAGGAUUAGAUACCCUGGUAGUCCAUGCCGUAAACGAUGUCUACUAGCCGUUGGGGCCUUUGAGGCUUUAGUGGCGCAGCUAACGCGAUAAGUAGACCGCCUGGGGAGUACGGUCGCAAGACUAAAACUCAAAUGAAUUGACGGGGGCCCGCACAAGCGGUGGAGCAUGUGGUUUAAUUCGAUGCAACGCGAAGAACCUUACCUGGUCUUGACAUAGUAAGAACUUUCCAGAGAUGGAUUGGUGCCUU